rnacentral:rRNA from 1 species
UACGUAGGGGGCAAGCGUUGUCCGGAAUCAUUGGGCGUAAAGAGCGCGUAGGCGGUCCAGUAAGUCCGCUCUGAAAGUCCGGGGCUCAACCCCGGGAGGCGGGCGGAUACUGCUGGGCUAGAGUCCGGAAGAGGCGAGUGGAAUUCCUGGUGUAGCGGUGAAAUGCGCAGAUAUCAGGAGGAACACCAAUGGCGAAGGCAGCUCGCUGGGACGGUACUGACGCUGAGGCGCGAAAGCUAGGGGAGCAAACGGG